rnacentral:lncRNA from 1 species
GAUCGCGACUCUUAACUCAAGUACCCUUGUAGCUUACGGGCCUAACAAGUUUUUCGAGUUCGGGUCGGCUCGGGUCAUAAGAUUGGAAACCCAAGGUUCUCCUAAAAAUCAAAUGGAUCGGGUCGGAUCGGGUCCGAAUUUAGUAAACCCAAAUCCGAUCUGAAAAAUUAAAUGGGUCCAAUCUUAGAAUCCGACCAGCCCCACAGGUUCUUUAACAUGGGUUGGCUCAAGUCUAAGCGAGUUGGGUUGGAUUGGGUCACGAGACAACCCAACCCAUUUGCAUCCUUAGCUGGAGACGAGCUGAGUGGCUGGUUGAGGCGUCC